UUCUGGUUCUGGAUGGCCAGUUCUUGAGUGCUGGUUUGUUCAGGAGAAAGCAGGACAUAGAUUGGGUUUCUCAGUACCAAUGAGCCAAGAGAAAUCUCUUAUGUUCAUCAGAACUGAUGCAUAGAGUGAAGAGACAAUAUCUGAUCUUCAUCCUCCAGCAGAUAUCAGCACAUCCAGAAUUGACUAUGUGACCGAUCCAGCUGGUACAUUCUGUAGUUCUUCCCUGAACCCACCUAAAGGCUCUGUGAACAAACCUAAAUGUGUCCAUGGUCCUAACCAAUAUGUCUAUGGUCAGUUGGGCAGCUGCUCUCACUGACUCUGCCCAAAGUUCCAUCUACCUGCAAGCUGAUUGGUUCUCAGUGGCAGCACAAGGAAUUGAUAAGCCGCUGACACUGUCAAAUAUUAUGCAAGAACCCUCCACUUCUAAAGCGCUAGAUGUAAUCCUCAGCAUCUCCAGUGGUCUACUCUAGACUUGGAGAGCCAGUUCUUUUAGACUAUGGGUUCUGGGUGGACCCAUCUUCACCAGUCCAUGGCUCUGGUUUCUCUAUUGAGUGGCAGUAUCAGUUCCGGGGUGAAGGACGGCUGGUCAUUGCAUAUGAU